UACGUAGGGGGCAAGCGUUGUCCGGAUUUAUUGGGCGUAAAGAGCGUGUAGGCGGCCAGGUAGGUCUGCUGUGAAAACUCGAGGCUUAACCUCGAGCUGUCGGCGGAAACCAUCUGGCUAGAGUCCGGAAGAGGAGAAUGGAAUUCCUGGUGUAGCGGUGAAAUGCGCAGAUAUCAGGAGGAACACCCGGUGGCGAAGGCGGUCUCUCGGUCG
rnacentral:rRNA from 1 species